rnacentral:rRNA from 1 species
UACAGAGGGGGCUAGCGUUAUUCGGAAUUAUUGGGCGUAAAGGGCGCGUAGGCGGCGCAGUAAGUCGGGUGUGAAAUCUCGGAGCUUAACUCCGAAACUGCAUUCGAUACUGCCGUGCUUGAGGACUGGAGAGGAGACUGGAAUUUACGGUGUAGCGGUGAAAUGCGUAGAUAUCGUAAGGAAGACCAGUGGCGAAGGCGGGUCUCUGGACAGUUCCUGACGCUGAGGCACGAAGGUCAGGGGAGCAAACGGG